rnacentral:rRNA from 1 species
UACAGAGGGUGCGAGCGUUGUCCGGAAUCACUGGGCGUAAAGGGCGCGUAGGUGGUGGCUUAAGCGUGCGGUGAAAGCUCGGGGCUCAACUCCGAGUCGGCCGUGCGAACUGGGCUCACUGGAGCAUAGUAGAGGCAGGUGGAAUUCCGGGUGUAGCGGUGGAAUGCGUAGAGAUCCGGAAGAACACCGGUGGCGAAGGCGGCCUGCUGGGCUAUGGCUGACACUGAGGCGCGACAGCGUGGGGAGCAGACAGG